UACGUAGGGUGCGAGCGUUGUCCGGAAUUAUUGGGCGUAAAGAGCUUGUAGGCGGUUUGUCGCGUCUGCUGUGAAAAUCCGGGCUCAACCCCGGACUUGCAGUGGGUACGGGCAGACUAGAGUGUGGUAGGGGAGACUGGAAUUCCUGGUGUAGCGGUGAAAUGCGCAGAUAUCAGGAGGAACACCGAUGGCGAAGGCAGGUCUCUGGGCCACUACUGACGCUGAGAAGCGGAAAGCAUGGGAGCGAACAGG
rnacentral:rRNA from 1 species